rnacentral:rRNA from 1 species
UUGAAGAAAAAAUGUAACAAGGUUUCUGUAGGUGAGCCUGCGGAAGGAUCAUUACCGAGUUGAAUUCGGGGCUCCGGGCCCGAAUCCUCCCACCCUUUGUGUACCUACCUCUGUUGCUUUGAGCGGGGCCGCGGUCCUCCGCGGCCGAGCCCCCCCCCCCCGGGGGGUGGCCAGCGCCCGCCAGAGGACCAUCAAACUCCAGUCAGUAAACGAUGCAGUCUGAAAAACAUUUAAUAAACUAAAACUUUCAACAACGGAUCUCUUGGUUCUGGCAUCGAUGAAGAACGCAGCGAAAUGCGAUAAGUAAUGUGAAUUGCAGAAUUCAGUGAAUCAUCGAAUCUUUGAACGCACAUUGCGCCCUUUGGUAUUCCGAAGGGCAUGCCUGUUCGAGCGUCAUUACAACCCUCAAGCUCUGCUUGGUAUUGGGCACCGUCCUUUGCGGGCGCGCCUCAAAGACCUCGGCGGUGGCGUCUUGCCUCAAGCGUAGUAGAACAUACAUCUCGCUUCGGAGCGCAGGGCGUCGCCCGCUCGGACGAACCCUUUCUGAACUUUUCUCAAGGUUGACCUCGGAUCAGGUGAGGGAUACCCGCUGAACUUAAGCAUACAAAGGGGGAGAAAAA